AUGGAGGCAGAUUACAUGGAAUUGAAAUGGUGUGCAAAGACCGUCGGCCCGACAUUGCCGUCGUUCUACCUUGACGAUGAUCGCCUGCCGUCGAACAAGACCUAUGGUUUCAACCUCGUCUCGAGCACUUCUCCGUGUGUGGCAUGGCUCAACAAGCAGGCUCCUUGCUCUGUGCUCCUCGCAUCCUACGGCACGGUCGCUAACCUUGACUCGACACAACUAGAAGAGCUAGGCCAUGGAUUGUGCAACUCCGGACAACCUUUCCUUUGGGUGUUGAGGCCUAGUGAGACAGAUAAGUUGACCCAAGAACUCCAUGACAAAUGCAACAUGAAAGGCCAAAUUGUCCCCUUUUGCCCUCAGCUGGACGUGUUGGCUCACAGGGCCACAGGUUGUUUCUUGACACAUUGUGGAUGGAACUCGACAGCUGAAGCAAUUGCCACCGGUGUACCCAUGAUCGCAAUACCGCAAUGGGCGGACGAACCGACCGCCGCAAAGUACGUGGAGAGCACGUGGGGGAUCGGCCUGCGUGCACGCCGAGGCAAGAAAGGCUUGGUGAGACGAGAAGAGGUGGAGAGGUGCAUCAAGGAAGUGAUGCGUGGGAAGGAGUAUAUGAGGAAUGCUUCUAAGUGGAUGCAGAAGGCCAAAGAGGCUAUGCAGGAAGGAGGGAGCUCUGACAAAAACAUUGCAGAUUUUGCAGCCAAAUAUUUAUGA
rnacentral:rRNA from 1 species